rnacentral:rRNA from 1 species
GUGAGGAAUAUUGCGCAAUGGAGGCAACUCUGACGCAGCCAUGCCGCGUGCAGGAAGAAGGCGCUACGCGUUGUAAACUGCUUUUAACCGGGAAGAAACCCCAGGACGUGUCCUGGGUUGACGGUACCGGAGGAAUAAGCACCGGCUAACUUCGUGCCAGCAGCCGCGGGAAUACGAAGGGUGCAAGCGUUAUCCGGAUUCAUUGGGUUUAAAGGGUGCGUAGGCGGAGCGUUAAGUCAGUGGUGAAAUCCUGCAGCUUAACUGUAGACUUGCCAUUGAUACUGGCGCUCUUGAGUGCGCUUGAAGUGGGCGGAAUGUGCCGUGUAGCGGUGAAAUGCUUAGAUAUGGCACAGAACACCAAUUGCGAAGGCAGCUCACUAAGGCGAUACUGACGCUGAGGCACGAAAGCGUGGGGAUCGAACAGGAUUAGAUACCCCAGUAGUCC